GCGUCGGGAGAAGCACGGUGCCCUGCUGAAAACGUGUUAAGAGCCAGAGCCCUCAGAUCUGCCGCCCACUGAGUCGCAGACUUCCAAGCCUGCUCCAGCCUUGACAAAAGCCGCGACUCUGAGCAUCCAAAUGACAGUGAUGCCUUCUAAAUGAACCGAAACGUAACCACAGCGCAUUUCUAGUCCACGAAACGCAGGAAUAAGAAUGCCCUGUGAUUUGUUGCUGUGGCUACUGUUUGAAGAUGAUAGCUUUGCAUCUCAGCUUCCUUACUUUUGUGCUCCAAACCUGUGCUAAAACCACCAUGAAAUGCCUGACUGCUGCACAUAGAAAAGGUUUAUGGCCAACACCUGGCAGUGCUCAGGGGCUACUCCUGGCUCUUAGUUCAAGGGUCACUUCUGCCAUCCCUUGGAA